AUUGAACGCUGGCGGCAGGCCUAACACAUGCAAGUCGAACGGUAACAGGAAGAAGCUUGCUUCUUUGCUGACGAGUGGCGGACGGGUGAGUAAUGUCUGGGAAACUGCCUGAUGGAGGGGGAUGACUACUGGAAACGGUAGCUAAUACCGCAUAACGUCUCAAGACCAAAGAGGGGGACCUUCGGGCCUCUUGCCAUCGGAUGGGCCCAGAUGGGAUUAGCUAGUAGGUGGGGUAACGGCUCACCUAGGCGACGAUCCGUAGCUGGUCUGAGAGGAUGACUAGCCACACUGGAACUGAGACACGGUCCAGACUCCUACGGGAGGCAGCAGUGGGGAAUAUUGCACAAUGGGCGGAAACCUGAUGCAGCCAUGCCGCGUGUAUGAAGAAGGCCUUCGGGUUGUAAAGUACUUGCAGCGGGGAGGAAGGGAGUAAAGUUAAUACCUUUGCUCAUUGACGUUACCCGCAGAAGAAGCACCGGCUAACUCCGUG
rnacentral:rRNA from 1 species